ACGAACGCUGGCGGCAGGCCUAACACAUGCAAGUCGAACGAUAAGCUUCUUCGGAAGUGGACAGUGGCAGACGGGUGAGUAACGCGUGGGGAUCUGCCCAGAGGUUCGGGACAACCAUUGGAAACGAUGGCUAAUACCGAAUAAGCCCGUAAGGGGAAGAUUUAUUGCCUUUGGAUGAACCCGCGUAAGAUUAGCUAGUUGGUGGGGUAAUGGCCUACCAAGUCUACGAUCUAUAGCUGGUUUGAGAGGAUGAUCAGCCACAUUGGGACUGAGACACGGCCCAAACUCCUACGGGAGGCAGCAGUGGGGAAUCUUGC
rnacentral:rRNA from 1 species